rnacentral:lncRNA from 1 species
ACAGUAGUAAUUUUAUAUCUUUUUAUCUUAAAUCUUCCUGAAUCUCCUGUGUCUCUGCUGGUUCCGUCCAGCCCUGAUCCCCCUGUAAUCCUUCCCAACCUCCCUCUCCCACCUCCUCCUAGACCAGUCUGUUCCUCUGCUCCACUUCCGUUGGUUCAGUCCAGCCCUAUAUCUCCUGUUUCUCUGCUGGUUCUAUCCAGCCUUGAGCCUCCUGUGUUUCCUCCCGCUUCCCUCUCUCACCUCCUCCUAGACCAGCCAGUUUCCUCAACCUCAUCUCCGCUGGUGCCAGUCAGUCCCACAGCUCACCUUCAGUCAGCGCCAUCUGGGCGCUCCAGUCAGCCUCGGGACUUCCAGUCUCCAGCUCCACCUUGGCAUAAGGAUUCCCUGUCUCCGCCUCCAGCCUCCGAACCCUGGACUCCGCCUCGGUCCUUCGACCCAGCGGCUCCGCCUUGGCUCGUAGCUCCCUCGUCACCACUGUGGCCCGGCAUCCCACCAGCUCCACCGGUUUCCUUCGUCCCUCCAGCUCCACCGGGUUCCCUCGUCCCUCCAGCUCCACCUUGGUCAGUCGUCGACCAUCUGCUGCCUCGGGAUUCCAUUCGUCUGGCUUCGCCUCGUCACUCCAUCCCUCCAGCUCUGUCAGGCUCCUCCUUCCCUCUGGUUCCACCUCCAUCCUCAGUCACUCCGGCUCUGCAGUGUUCUUCCAGGGCCCCGCCUCCGCCUUGGUCGCCAGAGCCUUCUGCUCCGCCUUGGCCCUCCGGAUCCUCGGCUUCACCCUGUUUCUCCAUCAGCUUGGCUCCAACCUGGGCUCCUGAUCCACCGGCGCAGUCUCCAUCAGUCGAACCCCUGGUGUUGUCGGCUCCUCUUCCACCAUGGCUCCUCCCGCCAUCAACUCCACCGUGGGUCAUCUUGGCUGGUCUCUGGUGGACCCUCUUGCUUCUCCUGUUCCGGGCUCCUCCCUGGCUCCUCCCUCUGUCUACUCCUUGUUCCAUGCUACAUGCUUCCUCUACAUUGCCUACACCUUGCCUCCCCCUCUCGGCCUCCAGAUCCCCCACCCUCCCUCCGCUGGAAUUUCUCUUUCGGUGCGAGGACACACCGUUCCGGGAGGUGGCAAAAUGUUAUGUUAAUGGAUUUUCUGUUUCCCUAUUUUGUCAUGCCCCGUUUCUUGUUUGGUUAAAUGAUUAA